rnacentral:pre_miRNA from 11 species
UUUUAUAAUGUUCCUGAAAGACACCCCAGAGUGGGGAGACCCUCACUCAAGUCUCGGGAUAAGGUGAUGUCCCAAUAAUUCAAGAGAGACC